GGCAGCGACCUCGUCAACCGGAUCUAACGUUUGCUGCAAACAAGAGAGCUUUUCAGAACGGGGCAGGGCGCGGAAAGCAGGGACGCCUGCGGUGGAGUCGGCUCUCUGCCCCCUUACUCUCAGGAACAGAGGUUCCAGAUUUCCAAGAAAAGCCUGUCGUUGGGCACAGCCCGUUAUCCUGUCCCCCCCGAAACAGCGUUGUGUUCGUACUUGGUAAUCAGGGCAUGGGGUCUGAUUCUCCGUCCCACACAGGCUCAGACUCAGCAAAGUACGAGGUGUCCCCGACACAGCCGGGGUCACGUCCUCAGCCACAUCACAAAAAACAUCUGAGACACUGACUUGGGCCAACAGAAACCAGUGUCACUACCAGAGAGGGAAAUUGCUUACGAUGUACAAGUCUUUGAAAAGGAUGAUGUAACAUGGAAAUAGUCCUUAAAGGGCCAAAGACCUCACCUGACCAUCUUGAGUCCGGAACCUGCUUUGGAUGAAUUCAACUGGUUCUUCUAAAAGUGAAAUAAAUGGCCAGGCUGCGGGAACUCCCUGGACCCUCUGGGCCAUGCUAUGCUGGACGUUGAAGGAAAGACCCCAAAAGUUGGCGAAUCAGCACUAGUCUAGUUGCUGCUUGGACAAUUUCCCUAAUGAAGUAAUUUCCAACAUGAAAAGCUUUUUCAGGAAGCUCAGUUCGGGAGUGGCCGGGGAGUGGCACCUUUCCCCUGCUCUCUCCACACUACAGCCCCUUCUCACCGUCUCUGCCCUGCGGCCUCAAAGCUGCUGGCCGGGGCCCGGCAGACGGAGCCAGCUGUGACUGGCCACCAGUAGGUGCCAGUGGCCACUGCAGCAGGACAGGCACUGGGGAUGCAAGAGGAACCUGCUGGCCGCACGGAGCGGAUGGACUGGUCUCCUCUUGGCUGAUGGAACGCUGGACCAGGCUGGCAACCGCCGCGGGAGCAGUGCUGGGUCGACUGCACAGAGCUGUCCGGCGGGCGGCAUGCAGGCCGGGACCGCUCCAGCAGUCACGCCGCACGGCAACCUGGCCGAGAAGGCGCCCCUCCCGCUGCCCUGCCCGCGGGCACGCGCCCCGCUCACCUUUAUCCUCUCCUUGCAGAGGAAGUAGGCGGUGGCGUGGAGCACGUCGGCGGCGUGCGUGGAGUUGUGGUAGGGGUUACAGGAGUGGUAAUUGGCUUCGAUUAUCUGCAGCCACGAUCUCAGCGUCGCCUCAGAGCAGUUCAAGAAUUCACAGAUCCCAAAGCGGGCGAACAUUUUGAGACCGAGAUAAAUCAAAGGCCUACAGAGAAAAACGUCCACAGCAUUAAAACAAAGAAACAGGCAAAGGGUGUGGAGCCCCAGAGAGUUCAGACCCGGCCAGCAAACCCGAGCCCGGCUUCAGCGAGCGUGUGGGCCGGGGAGGCUGCCUCUCCGGGGCCCCCCGGCAGCCAACACCCGACACCGGCCAGAGCUCUGGGCCCGGGCUCCCCACCCUGGGGCCCGGUGUGCCGGCCCUGCCCAUCUUCCUUCAGGGACUCCUACUCGCACCAGUAGAUUCCUCAGAAUCCACGUGACGUGGCCUUGAACCCUAUCCUCCCCUUUGGACUUGCUGGACCUGUGUUAUUGGCCAGAUGUCCUGUCUAGAAGCAAAGAACGCUUCCGCUGCCUACAAGCCAGAUACUGUCACUGGUCACAAAACGGCCCCAACAAUCUGGCGCUGGGUGCUGCAGCUGGAUGCAGUUUCCCUGAGAAGGUGACCAACUGGCCGCCAGGCCCAGCCCUUCCUUGACAAGUUCCCUCCGUCCAGCAUCUGGCCUUUGGCUUGGAAGGCCAAGCAGCGGCUCCGCUGAGGCGGCGUCCGGAGGCCCAGGCGUGCAGGGACCCGCGGUGGCCUGGCUCCCAGGAACGUGGCGGCGCUAGCACGUAAGGCGGAGCGCGUUCCUCCCGCCACCCUGCCCACACGGGGUGCACGGGACAGAAUGUAUCGGAGGCCUGACGCCUGGUGGGCAUGAUCGAAGGAUGGAGGCCAGAUGGGGACAGUUCACCCAGACUGGAAGGACCUCUGAGGAGUGGGCCAUCAGGGGACAUGUGUCCCACAGGUCCCUGCAGGCCUUGCACCCUGAAAGCACAGCCCUGCCCAGUGUGCCCAGCCAGCCAGCCGCGUUAGCCAGCUCUGCUCUUCCCUCCAGGUGCGAAACUCCUGGUAAAAUCCCAGGGCCAUCCCCACUCUGUGUGAGUGUACUCACAUCAGGAUGUAGAGUUCGGUGUGUCCCCACGCCUGUCACCAACACUGCGACAUGGGGACAAUUCUUAGCUCUGGGCUCUGAGCUGGGCUCCUGCCACUUUCAGUGCACUGCCCCUGCACAUCUGUAUUUAAAACCCCUGCCACUUAGAGACAUCACGUCACUUGGUCAACUUCACAUGGGCCACGAGUGGUCAGCCCUGCUCCUCCCCUGCAAGCCCUGUCCCUGCCCAGGGCCUGGCCUGGGCGGACCCCGUGCUCCUUGGAGUGCUCUUUCUACAGACCCCCUAGGGGCCGGGCUCCACGGGGACGCACCUUCUCUGUGUGGCGGCCUCCAGUUCAAAAAUAUCAAAGUCCCAGUACUCCUCAUUUUCCAUGGCCCGAGCGAUCCGGGGAGGGACAUCGUGCAGGGAGAGGGGGGUUCCGAUGCCGCUGGGCAUCUGCUGCAGGCCUGCAAGGUGACGGGAUUUAGAGAACGAGACUCACGGGCUUCCCAGCGGCAACCGCUCCUGAGGGAGGCCAGUCCCCCUUCCGGGGCAGCUCUCGUGUGCCGGGUUCAUGCCCGACCAUCAAACUUCUCACUGCAGAGAACAGUCACCUGAGUGGCGCUGGGGUGACUCAGUCGCUUCUUAAACCU